UGGGGGCAAGCCUGAUCCAACCAUGCCGCGUGAGGGAAGAAGGCCUUAGGGUUGUAAAGCUUUUUCACCGGGGACGAUAAUGACGGUAGCCGGAGAAGAAGCCCCGGCUAACUCCGUGCCAGCAGCCGGGGUAAUACGGAGGGGGCUAGCGUUGUUUGGAAUUACUGGGCGUAAAGCGCACGUAGGCGGACAUUCAAGUUGGGGGUGAAAGCCCGGGGCUCAACCUCGGAAUUUCCUUCAAAACUGGAUUUUUUGAGGCCGGGAGAGGGUGGUGGAAUUCCCGGUGUAGAGGUGAAAUUUGUAGAUUUUGGGAAGAACCCCAGUGGGGAAGGCGGCUAUAUGGACCGGUUUUGACGUUGAGGUGGGAAAGCGUGGGGGGCAAACAGGAUUAGAUACCCUGGUAGUCCACGCUGUAAACGAUGGGUGCCAGAUGUCGGGGGUCUAGACUUCGGUGUCGCAGUAACGCGUAAGCACUCCGCCUGGGA
rnacentral:rRNA from 1 species